rnacentral:rRNA from 1 species
UAGGGAAUCUUCGGCAAUGGACGAAAGUCUGACCGAGCAACGCCGCGUGAGUGAAGAAGGCUUUCGGAUCGUAAAACUCUGUUGUUAGAGAAGAACAAGGACGUUAGUAACUGAACGUCCCCUGACGGUAUCUAACCAGAAAGCCACGGCUAACUACGUGCCAGCAGCCGCGGUAAUACGUAGGUGGCAAGCGUGGUCCGGAUUUAUUGGGCGUAAAGCGAGCGCAGGCGGUUUCUUAAGUCUGAUGUGAAAGCCCCCGGCUCAACCGGGGAGGGUCAUUGGAAACUGGGAGACUUGAGUGCAGAAGAGGAGAGUGGAAUUCCGUGUGUAGCGGUGAAAUGCGUAGAUAUAUGGAGGAACACCAGUGGCGAAGGCGGCUCUCUGGUCUGUAACUGACGCUGAGGCUCGAAAGCGUGGGGAGCAAACAGG